ACCUCUAUUGGCUGUUUAGUCAUUUUCUUAUUAUGACAGGCUUUUAGAAACUUUUAUUCUGUGAUGCUUUCGUCAGUAGAGGUGUUUCCUCUUAGCCAGUUCUAGCCACAAUAUUGACUGGGCCCAGGCAUUUGCUACACUCAGAAGGAAUUAACCAGGCAGGAGAAAACUUGGUCCCUACUGGAAUGAAUAGUUUAAAGGCCAUCUUAGAUGCUGAAAACUCUGAGCACAAAUGAAAGCGACCCAAGAAGGAAAAACUUCAGAGCCUAAGAAUAAAAAAUGGUGGUAGGGUUGGGGGAUAAACUCGCCCAGAGCUGACUUAAAGUGCUGUCAGGGAAGGAAGUGCCUUUCCUGGGGAGGAUGAGAUGGUCCAUGCCGGGUCUGGAGCUGUGGGCGUUCUGAUGUUGGAUAGCCCACCCUAGCAGGCUGCAGUGUCUUAAGGGUAGUGGCAUGAGAUCUUUGGAAGUAUCGAUACAUUUCCUAACAGUGAGUUUGAGUUUGUUCUGGUAUGUUCUGAAUGGAUAUGUGGCUCAAAGAUUAACUUAGCUAAAAAUAAGUAUAUUAGAUAUUAGGGAAAUAUUGUUAAUAAAGGUCUUCUGUCCCUGUUGGAUAACUUUAGAAAAUAAUGUAGACAACUGAACGUAGUGGAGAUGAUGGCAUGAAUACAGUCAGGGUUUGAUGCUUGCUUCCUAGAAACUUCCUAGAAAUAGAACACAUCUAGACAUAGGGAAAUAAGGUUCCAAAGAAAACCUUACACUUUUAUUCAGAUUUUAUGUUGGCCUCAGUUGUACUAGAAAAGCGUUUCAGUAUGUGUCUCUUGGGGAAUCUGCACCUUCUUGGUCACUGCACUUCAUAGCCCGGCAUAUCACUGAGAAUUCAGAAAUCUGACUCUUUACCCAGGGACGAAUACAUCGUUAUGAGUUCAGGUGCACUAAAUACAUAGGAACACCCAGAGAAAAUGAGCCCGAAACAAUGGUUCUUUUUAUUUUGGAAGUUUCAGACAAACUCUUUGGAAAAUUGAAGAAAUCUAUGGAUCCUUUUCCUGGGAAGACUGUACAGACAUACGUAUUCGUGUGGUUUCUGUGGGUGUAGGGACUGGCCCUGGUCAUGUGUCAGGAAGCCCCAAUCCAGAAGAUCGUCUUCAUUUUACCUUGGCCGGUGAUCUGACUCUGUUCUCGCGCCCAUCUGUGGUUGAUUCUCUGUCGCCUUGGAAUGGAGCAUCAGAUCUUGAAGGUCGCUCAUUGCUUUUCCACGCAUAGAACUGAGCCACAUGGCAAGAGCUUCCUAAUGAAAUGGACGGAAACUCUCUGCAAAGGGCUGCCCCAGAAGCACGGGUGAUAGAAAUAGAGUCCAAGGCACUAAGGCCGCUGAGCCACAGUCCUCCUAGGCAAUGCCUCCUGCUGGCUUAGUGGGUUUAUUUCAUAAGUUGAGUACUAAUGUCCUGUUUUUUAAAUGAACAUAUUUCUUCUAACAUUUCUAACAAUUAUGAAGAUUUUCUCCCUAAGUGUGACUUUUUCUUAUGUCUUGGGGUAUCAGAUUUACAGCGUAACAUGUGUACUUCAAAUUGUAGUAGUGACUGGAAAUUUAGGAUUCUGUUGUUUCAUAACACUUAAAUCUGCAGCAGAUUUUCAGGAAAAUGGUCAAGAUUCACAGAUAAUUCCUUCCUUAUUCCUUACAGAUUUUACAAUUGUAUGGUUAUUUCUGAAUUUGGUUAAUUUGUUUAUAAGUGUAGUGGACAUUUAACAGAACAGAUGCACCCGAUUAUCUGAUUAGAAAUGUGUUUCAACACACGGGUCCCUUUGCGUGUUUCCAAUCUCUGUUUUCGGAUCUGGGAUUCUCCACCUGUUACAUCGUUCACUGGAACUUUCCUACAAAAUACAGCCUCGCUGAGAGGCGCAUCGUGGAAAAAUGAAGCAGCCUGAAGAAACUCUAAUAUUGGGACCGAGUGGAGAGAUGGAAGAGCAUCAUCAGAGUGGUGCCGCCGCACAUGCGGGAGGCGUCCCAGGCAGCAUUGCUCUUUGUACAUGAGACAGGAUACCACUGUCUUUUAUGCAUUAGACUGGUAACCAGAUAAAAUAACCUUGUAAAACAGAUCUUUUAUGUAAGAAAAAUACAACUCUCACCUCGCAAACAUUCCUGUCUGUUGCGGAUGAACCUAGCAGCAGGAGAGGAGCCAGGGUCAGUCCACUUGGCCUGAAAGUUAACGUCAUAUAUUCAGAUGUCAAGGGGUUUCUGUGCAUGCUUUUGAAGUAUUGUGUUUGGGCUUUUACAACAUGUGCCUCACUGUUUCGCAUCUACAGAGAGAGUGCCGCUGAGAGAGGAGCCUGAGUGGAUCCGUGCCCAGAUCUGCAUUCUCUGUCCUCACCACUUCUCCCUGCUGGUUGAUAUAAAUGUGGGGAUAACGUCGAGCACAAAGGAGUCAAAAAUUGAUCAGGGCUGGGUGUGGUGGCUCACGCCUAAAAUCCUAGCACUCUGGGAGGCCGAGGCAGGAGGACUGCCCAAGGCCAGGAGUUAACAUAGCAGGACCCUGUCUCUACAAAAAAUAAAAAAAAUCAGCUGGGCAUGGUGGUGUGCACUUGUAGUCUCAGCUGUUUGAGAGGCUGAGGCAGGAGGAUCUCUUGAGCCCAGGAGUUUGAGCAUGCAGUGAGCUGUGAUCGUGCCACUGCACUUCAUCCCAGGCGAUGGAGUGAGACCCCAUCUCUUAUUUAA
rnacentral:lncRNA from 1 species